AAUAGCAGAGAGCACAUGCCUUUGCAUUGCAUCUGUCCUGUUAUUUUACAAUAUGUGCAAAACAGCUGUUUUACAAAAUUUUAUUAAUGCAAACUUGAUUUGUUCUGGAAUGUGCCCUGCAAGUUAUAGGGUUGAAUGUAUUAGAAAGGCAGAAAGUCUGUUUGUACAAAAGAAUUGGGCAAUAUUUCUAAAUUGUGUCAUGUUUAACUCUGAUGCUGACCUUUGUUUGUUCUCAAAUCUCUUGUACAGAAUACAGUUUAUU